GUGUCUGUGGUGUAGUGGUAGCACGCUGUGCACUGAUCCCAGUGGUCCCAGGUUCGAAUCCUGGCAGACACG